GUGGAAGCAUCAUGCUGUGGGGAUGUUUUUCAGAGGCAGGAACUGGGAGACUAGUCAGGAUCGAGGGAAAGAUGAAUGCAGCAAUGUACAGAGACAUCCUUGAUGAAAACCUGCUCCAGAGCACUCUGGACCUCAGACUGGGGCGAAGGUUCAUCUUCCAACAGGAUAACGACCCUAAGCACACAUUGUUGCCUCUUGAAGGAAUAGUGAACACUGUAGGAAGUAAUUUUACUAGCAGCUUCUCCCAAAGCUCUGAAAAUGUAUGGAAUGGGUUUGUGCUGAAAGCUUACUAUAGUGUAAGAGCAUUUAUUGAAAAUCUCAAAUUGUGUAAUGUUGUUGACUUUGAAAAAUACUCCAUACAAACUUUCUCUUUCUCUGAUUUCUCUUUAGCAGUAAACCAUCACUUUAGAAUAAGGACUAGAUUUCAGUCAUUAGUUAGAAUAAGGAAUAUUUAAAGUCAUAACAGUAACAAAGGUAGUUCUUUGUCACUGACCCAGUCUAAGGUGCGUCUAAAGGGUGGUGCGAGGACAGGGGAAGGCCGGGUGGAGGUCCUGAAUUGCUCUGCGUGGGAUACAGCGUGUGAUGACCACUGGAGCUUGCAGUCGGCUAGCGUGGUAUGCAGAGAAUUGGGCUUCGGUACUGCUAAAGAGGCUCUGACUGAUGCACGCAUGAUCCAAGGCAUGGGACACAUCUACAUGAAUGAGGUACGGUGCUGAGGGAAUGAGAAGAGAUUGUGGGAUUGCCCUCAUAACAACAUCACUGCUAAGAAGUGCAAACACACGGAGGAUGCUGCAAUGAAGUGCAACGCCCCUUACAUGGGCUUUGAAAAAAGGAUCCGUAUAACUGGAGGCCGUACACAACUGGAGGGCCGGGUGGAGAUUCUGGCCACUAAUACUGAUGCUUUAGGGGAGUGGGGCCUGAUCUGUGGGGAUGACUCGACUUUUCAAGAGGCCAUGGUGGCAUGCAGGCAGCUGGGACUGGGACAUGCUAGCAGCGGCCUCAGCCUCCGGACUCCUGCCCCGAGUUUCCAGCCUGCCCUAGCCUGCCUUGCCUGCCUCCCAGGAUGAUAUCACUGAGAGGCAGCCAUAUCUGAAGCGGAAGAAGAGUGAGAAUGGUGUGGGAUGUUGGAGGUGGUUAAGUGUGAUUUGUUGCUAGGUGAUUGUUUGUUUUGUGCUGCUAGGAGAUUGUUUGGUUUGUGUUGUUUGCCCUUGUGGCUGUAUAACAAUUCUAUAUUCUUGCCUGGGGGUUGACUGUGAUUUUGGUUGUUCUUGUAUCUGGAUGUGUAUGCUCUUCAGAGUAUACACGUUCACGUGGUUCACUGGCGGUAGGGAAGUAUUUGUAUUUUCUUUGUGAUUUUUAGCAUUAUUGCCUGUGCCAGGAUCCUCUCUCUCUACCCGAUUUGCUGGACCGUAUGAGGUUAAACAAAAAUUGAGCCCUACUAACUACGUUCUCAGUAUACUUGGUCGUAGAUAUUAAACCCGCAUGUGUCACAUCAAUCUGUUGAAAAAAAAAUAUGCACGUCCUUCACUGUCUGAGUCCAAACCUGUUCCUGCUGUGAUGGCAGUUGUUACACUUCCGGUAGAAGGUCAAAGUUCUCCUGAAUAUUUUCAAGAAGUUGAUGAUCUAUAUCUCAGAAGAAACUGUGUGUCUUGUCUCCACUUAGCCAAUUUUGAAGCCGUAAAGCAGUUGCCAGAGAAGUUGGAAGGGUUGUCUCCAUCAUUUCAGCAAGACAUUAAAACAUUAAUAAGAUAUAAUUGGCCCUGAUCUUCGGAUGUCUCUAAACUAUCGGCCGACUUCCGUCCCCGUUUGAGCCGUAAUUCCUGGGUGUGGCACAAAUGCCACAGGCCUUCCUUGCGAGACAAGAAUCUUCACCAUCUGAAUUAUGAGUGCCCAUCGUCAGUCCUUCUUCUCCCCUUUACUGGAUCUGGAUCUCGAUCUGGACACUCAUUAUCAGCUUGCGCAUCUCACUGCUGAUAUCAUGGUGCUACUUAACUUUCUUCGCAGCACCCCCUCUGGAAAUGGAAAUGCGGGGUUCCCCCUCCCCUCUCCGACACAGAAUCUGCCCCGUGAACGUGUGUAUUGACGCCUCUACACAGCCAAAACCCCCCUCCAGCUUUCAGUCUGAGGAAGAUGUCACCUUCUCUGACCUGGGCCCCGACCAUUCUUCCCUCUUCUCACCUGUCAGUCCACCCCACUCUCAGUGGUCCUCUCACUUCACGUUCGCUGACUAUCCCAUGUCCCCAGGACUCACCCCAUUUUCUUCCCCCCACCGCUCUCCUCAAGAUUACACACCCACCAGUCCUGGGACAGGACAACUUCACCGCAUUAAAGGGACAAUGGACGGGGCCAUGUACCAUCAAAUCUUGAGUGAGAACCUCCUUCCCUCAGCCAGGGCAUUGAAAAUGGGUCGAGGAUGGGUAUUCCAGAAUGACAAUGACCCAAAACACACGGCCAAGACAACAAAGGACUGGCUCAAAAAGAAGCACAUUAAGGUCCUGGAGUGGCCUAGCCAGUCUCCAGACCUUAAUCCCAUAGAAAAUCUGUGGAGGGAGCUGAAGGUUCGAGUUGCCAAACGUCAGCCUCGAAACCUUAAUGACUUGGAGAAGAUCUGCAAAGAGGAGUGGGACAAAAUCCCUCCUGAGAUGUGUGCAAACCUGGUGGCCAACUACAAGAAACGUCUGACCUCUGUGAUUGCCAACGAGGGUUUUGCCACCAAGUACUAAGUCAUGUUUUGCAGAGGGGUCAAAUACAUAUUUCCCUCAUUAAAAUGCAAAUCAUUUGAUAACAUUUUUGACAUGCGUUUUUCUGGAUUUUCUUGUUGUUUUUCUGUCUGUCACUGUUCAAAUAAAUCUACCAUUAAAAUUA